CCUAUUGUACUGCCCUGGUAUCAACUACUGUAGACAAUAUCUCUACGUGGAUGUUAUUUGCACGUUGAAUAAACAAACUUUGAUGACACCAGACUUGAACAUAACAGCUUCAAAGGGCUACGAAUAAUUGUAAACAAUGGAUAUGGUCAUCACCAAUUUAAGGGUUGGCUUCGGGCAAGCAUUGUUAACUGCGGCCACUGUGAGCGUAUCCACUAACCCUUUAACCGUACUGGGAAUUGUGGCAAUUGUUGGGGCAGUAUACUGUAUUACAAAAAAUAAUGGACAUCAUAGACAAGAAUGACCACAUCCCAAGUUUGUGGCAAGACAUUUAUGGAUGUGUCAGCAGACAUGCCCACUUUAACUAAAACAUUUAAGUAAAUAAAAACAAUAAACAUCCAUGACUCAUUCAAA